UAAUUUUUUUGUUUUGUUUUGAAUAAAAUUGUUAUAUUUAAUUAUUUUUGUAAUUGUUUUAAUCUUCAAUGUUACAAGCAUGGUUUUUCUGUAACUUCUUUAUUUGGAAUGGCUCAUACCUUGAGGCAUGGUAUGUCUACAAUGGUUUGCCUAAAUCUGUGUAUCACUAUUAAAAAAAGGGACAGGGAUUAAGUUGGAAACAUGAAUAUGAGGCUGAUGUCAUGCUGAAGCUACAAGCAACGCAACACGUUCACACGUUCCAAUAAGAAAGCGUUGCAACGCAUUGGGAUGUCAUGCUGGCGCGACAUGUCGCUUUGAAAUUCCCUACAAAUCAUCACUUCUUUACAUCUGAUAAUGCUUUGAAUCGUUUCCUUUCUUUCGGGAACCGUCAAAAACUUAUCAGAUCCUAUCAGAUCAUGCUCGGAUUGCAAGAAUGCCGUAAUUUGAACCGACAAAAUUCCUUGUUUGUUUUUGUGGGAACCAAGAAUUUCUGAAAAUUUUCUUGUCGAUUCAGGUAUUAUUUAGUUUAUUAUCACAAAUUUGGACGGAUCUUCGAAUUAUUGUGGUUAAAACCCGAAAUCACUGUUUUAAAACGAGAAAAAACAAUAUUCCCAUUGGAUUUCCUACUUGUCGCGCUACAAAACCCUGGCAUCAGCUUUGUCGCGCUUUCCAAUGCGCUCAGCAUGACACACGGAAAAUAAUAAAAAGGUAAAAUUUACCGAGAUAAAAAGGUGAACGCUCGUGAAAGCCAAAAAGGUAACUUCUACCUCUUCGAGGUGAAACUCACCUCACAGCGAGGUAAAAGUUUACCUGAAUUGAACUGGAAAAAAAGGUUCAAUUCACCGAGAAAAAAAGUGAAUCCAAAAAAGGUUAAUCUUACCUCGUUGCGAGGUUAAGUUGACCUGGUUUGAGCUAAACAAAACGGUACAAUUCUCCUCGAAAAAAGGUAACAAUUUGCCGAACCCGUUUAUUGAGGUUAAGCUGUUUUGUCAUUCAGGAACAAGUUUUGUUGUGUGCCUAAUAUGUGAAAAUCGGAAUAGAAUGGUAAGUGUUUUCUUAGAUAUCAUUUAGUUGUGCUGGUUCUCGUCAUAAUACAUUGCUUUUGUUUCAGAUCGGCACCGGAUGACGGUGUAUUCCACGUCAUCCUCCAGCCGGAAAAGCCGAACCUGACCGGAUUAGUCGAACGGAGGGAAUCAUGAAUGUACGCAACGCAGGAGGAUUCAGCGACCAUGGCGGCUCAGAAGAACGCGAAGCCGAAUUACCAGUUCCUAUUUAUCUCCAAUAAAUAUAAUUUUUGAAUGAAUUUUGUAUUUUGUUUAUCCUUUGUACUUAUUGAAGAACCAAUCAAACCAACCAGCAUUUACCUUUUAAAUCAGUAAAUGGGAAAACGGUAUUAUUUACUAUUUUGCUAGCUGAAUGUGAAAAAGGUAGAAUUUACCUUUUUGCUAGGUGAAUUGAAAAAAGGUAAAAUUUACCUCGAAAGAGGGGUGGAAAAAAUUCACCUCGCAAAAAGGUAAAUUUUACCUUUUUUUUAUUUUCCGUGCAGGUGUGCGUUUUUUCCAUGGAGAUCAAAUGAGAGCUGGUUUGUCGGGUGAACGUUGUGUUGAAGGUUGCGUUGCUUGUCGCCUCAGCUUGACAUCAGCCUAAUAGACGAAGAUCAAAAGCUUUGGAACAGAAGUAUUGUUGUUAUUGUCCGUUUUAUUAUUUUUGUCAGAACUAUUGCCAUUCCACAUAAAGAACUGCUUUUUAUUUUACCAUCUAAGUGUAAAACUUCUACCUGUUUGGACGUUAAGAAAGCUCAUUAAAAUUGUAAACAAAUGAAGAAAAAACAUUCUCGUUCCCUGCACAGUAAACGAAAACUACCGAGUUCGGUAAUUUUUUUUACAGAACCUGUUCUGUAAUUCGAAAAUUUUCGGUAAUUGAUCGAUCUGACGUCUUGUUUUUACCGAGUUCGGUAGAUCGAUCCUUUAUUUAACGAGGCUCGUUUAUUUUUAUGUAAACAAAUCGCUUUGCCGUAAAUUUUCGGUGAAAAAACACCGAAAACUGUAAAUUAGUGUUGCUGUCAACACAAACGUCAAGUUUCGAGCGCACAUUUUUUGCAGCUUUGAGCGCAACCGUCUCUUUUUGAUAACCGCGAUGUAUUAGUGGCGUCCCGCUUGCGCAAAAUCAAUUUGAAACGUUUUUAAUUUUUGCAUAUGCGCAGGGGGUGCUUUCAAUCGAGCAGUAAAGUUUCGGUAUCACGUGUUUGUAGAUGAUGUUGGGGGUCAAAAUGUUCAACCGCUGCGUGUUGAAGUUUAUUAAGACCAUUAAUUGUGAUUGAAAAAAGUGAAUCUAAUGUGUCAAACAUCUUUCGGUGACUGUUUAAAACCACAUUCCACCAGUUAUUUAAAAAAAAAACCUCAAAACCACAAUGGUAAAAGAGCACCAGGCUCUGUAAUUUGACUUGAAUUCCUCAGGUUCAACAGGCAAGUUCAGUACGGUAAAGUAAUCUGAGGUUUUCGCCUACUUUUUAAAUUUAAGACCAAAUAACCCGCCUGACACUGAUGCUGAUAAUAAGUGGUAAGUAGGAAAUUGAUAACGAAAAUCAAAGUAAACUUUGAACAAUAAAUGAGACGAUUUUGUUUUGUUCGCGAUGUUUAUGUAUUUCUGUUUUAGUUUUGCGUUUCCGAAAUUUAGGUUGUUUUGGAUUCAUUUCGAGGACGGCUGUUCCAUUAAUCUUAACUGUAGGCAGAUAAACAACCAAAUUGAAACGAUGCAGUUUGGAAGUGCAGGAAACAAAUUUGAAUUCAUCCGUGGCCUUCAUGGAAAAUACUACUUAAUACCUCAAAAAACCUUCCAAUGGAGCUCUUUCGUUUAUUUGCAGGUAAUUUUUGUAUGACUUUUCUGUGUCGUAAAUUUAUUAAAAUAAUUCAUUCUUACAGGAACCGGAACAUUCUGCUUACCAGCUUGGUUAAAGUUGGCUGAAUACCAGUUGGUGCCAUUAUCGAUGACGGAUCUAUGGUUGGAGCUGAUGCCAAUGCUGUUAUCAAAGUUAUCAUCGCAGUUAUACGAAAGCUAUUCGCGCUUCUAAACCUUGUUAUUAUCUGUGAAUGCUAUGAACGCACUCCAAUUUAUUUACCACUUUAGAACGAUUUUUCGUGGCCGGAUGAGUAUAAAACCGCUCGUGUAUUGUCGAACCGCCCGCUUAAAUCUUCCUGAACAGGACAAGCAACUCGUGUGCAGUGGCCAGAAUUUGGAUGUCAACAUGAAGGACAGAGGUUUUGUGCGCAAUCGAAUUGGGCAGAUGACCGAGAUGGCUACAUAUAUCGAUCGAAUUCAGAGACAAAUUAUCCUGGGAAAGUAUAUGACGCUCUGCGUAGUGCUGUUGUAGGAUGACCAUAAUUUUGCUGAAAAUCACGAAAAAAGAACAGUUAAAGGAUUCGAAGCUUACUUGAACAUUUCAGGAUCCGAUAAGGAAGAAUGUUAAUAAGCUGCCAAUAUGAAAAAGGAAAUAUAUAUAGUUCGGGAUUUCUGGAAAUCCGAAAUGCGAGCGUCGAUAAAUAAUUUUAGCAUCCGUCGUUAGGUGAGUAAAUAUUCUUGUUCAUUUUUUUCAUUUACUUACCUACUAGGGUAACGGACUUAUUUUAGACCAGAGGACCUAUUUUGGGCCACCUUGUCUAGCUCUUUUAUAAAGCAACUUAUCAUGAAUUUUCUUGACGAAUAUAGUUGAAGCUCGGGAACUUAAUGUAUUGCAUUAAUUUUUUUUCACAUUUGGUUGCUUUAUAAGAGAAGAGAGCUAGACAAAGUGGUCAAAAAUAGGUCCCGUGGUCCAAAAUAAGUUUGUUACCCUAUUUACUCAAUAUUCAACAGUAAACUGUUCCUAUAAUACACUUCAAUUGCUUGAUAAUUUUUUGAAAUAUUUGUUUGCAGCUAAACGCUAAGCCAUCUCACAAAGGAUUCUCGGUUUAAAAAGUCUGUGCCAAAUCAAGUCUGGUAAGCGAAAACGACUGUAUCAACGUUAAAUACCCCGCAAUGGCUGGAAAUAGGACAUGUCGUAGGAACUGAUUAAGUGCCAUACUCAUGAAUUUCCAAUCGGGCAACAAUAUAAGGGAUUUUUCAACAGGAGGUGUUAAAUCGUUCAAAUUGUACAGCUUAAUUCCUUAUUAACUGACACUGAAUUAUUUCAUCGAAGAGGUUAGAUUCAUUAUGGCAAGGCUUGUGAACAUAAUCGACAUCGACCCAGUGUUGUGAAGAAAGUAGGUAACCAAAUGGCACUGCGUGAGCCAAGACUCAUUAGGGAUCAUCGGAUUGAAAUCAAGCCAAAUAAACAUCCAAGUGCUGCGCCAAAAUCCGAUGGAUUGAUGACCGAUGUACUCUGCCGAACAAACCUGCGUUCGGUAAGUAACAGGUUUGAAAAUUCCCAUCUUCAAAAUUGUUAGUAUAAUUUUGAUAUUUUUCGGGUUGGAAGUAUUUUUUUGCUCACAUAGAAAAUUAAAACAGGCAUAUAUUUACACAAGUAAAAUAGCAAUAUUCAGUUUAUGUUAUAAAAUUAUAUUAUUUAUUCCAAUACACGUGAAAGGAGAAUUAAAUGUUCAUUCGUCUUAACGUUCAGAGUAGGAGACAUUCAUACUAUUUAGCAUGUUGCUACUACAUAAAUGAAGGCGUUUAACACUUCAGAUUGCCAUUAUGAAUAUAGCCUCCGCUGGCAGAUAAAGAAGUACUGUCAACAUUAUGAAUCUUUGUAUCGGUUUUUUAAAAAAAGGUAGUUUUAUUGUAUCGAUCAUACUUACUUAUACAAAUAAUAUAAAUUUUUUAGUACAGCACUCGCUCGUGGAACGGAUAUUUUUUAAAUCAAUUUCUCUUGGUGAUCGGACGUUUUGGCAGAUGAAAUCAGUCAAGUUCAGUUCAUUUUCUACGUUACUGAUGGUCCUCGGUCCAAAAAUUAAUUUUUGUUCCUUUAUCAUUUUAUUACAGAUGGAUGUAAAGAAUUCGAUCAUCGAUGUGUAUGCUGAUAGGAUUUGCUCAGCGCUUGUUAAUGAGAAAAACUAUGCUCCUGCUACAAAGUCAAUUCCUUGUGGCCCUCAGUUUUCAGUUUCAGGAAACACAAUGAAAAGAUAUUUAAACAAGAAUGGAAAUAGAGAUACAAGGAAAUUAUUUUUGCUCAAAUAAUUUAAGGAAAGGUUUGUUUUAAGAAUUAAAUCUUAGAGUUUUAUCAUUUCUUGUACGUUAUAAUUCUAAUUAAAAAGUCGUCAAAUUAUUAAUAAAAAUAAGUUAAAAAAUAUCUUCGUUAAUUGAUUUUUUUAAAGCAUAUCCAAAGUUGGUAUCAGUUUAAUACUUAGUUAACAAUACCUAAUGGUUAUCAAUCGAGAAGUUUUAUCUACUUUAAGCUGGCCAUUUAAAAUAUUUACUUGUAGAAUUACUUUGCUAUGUUUGGCUUUAAACUGAAUCGUAUAAGCCGUUUCUAAUAAAAAUUAUAAAAAAAAUUCUUUUC